AUAUGGAGGACGCUAAUGCCAGUAGUUUUAUAAUUGAUAAACUUUGUAACAUUCAAAUGUUACAAUGUUCCUUUGAUUUCGAUGCGCCAGCGCCAGUCGCGCGCAAUCUCUAAAAAUUCAUAUGUUAAGAAAAUUCUGCGUGGAAAAUUCCAGAAAGAGGUUUGAUCUUGAGGAACUCAUGUGCUUCCUUUGUCAUUCAGAUUUGUACCUUUUUAAUUUUAUCUAUAUCUCAUUUCGCAAUUACUAUCUACAUCCUGGAAUUGAGGGUGUUAAUAUUCGUUCUUCAGUUAAUACAUAAGAGUAUAUCUAUAGUGUAUCUGCUCCAUUUUUAUUCACCGAUUUGGAUGUUCCGAACUGUACAAAUACUGUAUCAGGAAUUCAAGAAUUUUAUUAGCUUUCCUCCUACAAGGGGGACUGAGGGAGCUCUCAUAAAGACUUUCCUCUCAAGAUUUGAAAUUGAAGAACAUUUUGAAAAGGAGAUUUGUGUGCUGUUCUUUUCCAUUUCUCAAGGCAGGAUCCACCGCCUACCAAGAGGUGCUUGGAAUUCAAAAUCGACCAGAAAAAAGGUCAGAUCUGUCCAUUUUGAGCAAUUUGUAGAAUUACUUUGUAAAUAAUUAGAAAUAAGUAUUUUAAGAUUAGAUUCAACAAGGUACCUUGGGAUUUUUGGGAAUUUUGGUUCAAUAGAUAUUAUUGAAAUUUCAUAUUUUCUUUAUCGUUUAAUUUUCCUAACAUAUGAUAUAUUCAUAUAAUACACUUUCCAGAUUUUGUGUAAUUUUCAACAUCAUUGCAUUAAAUUGUGGAAUAGAAAUCUGGUGGCGCCCAAUAAUUUAAUUUUAAUUUCAUUUAAAACUAAACACCCUCCUUAUCCGCGACCUAGCCCUCCAAAGACUACAACAGCUGCCAAUUGCAUUAUUUUGCCCAGUUCAGUUAUUAUAUAUAAAUUUCUUAAUAACAAAAAUAAAUAAAAAGGCGGUGGCACAGUUUUGAAUUCAUACGAUGAUUGUCUUUGAUUUUGUUGCAACUAGUUUUUUCUAUUUUUUCGAUACUAGUUAAAAAUAUGGGUAGUGUGUGACAACUCAAAUUAUCACCCUACCUUCCAAUCUUAGUCUUCUUCUUCCUCCUCGGUUUUCCUCAAUAUUUUUUCAUUGCGUUUCUGGACUACCACAUGAUUGAGAGAGAGAAAAAGUUUAUUUUAAUGGCCAUCGACCUGAGGUCUUUCAGCCCAGACAUGAUUGAUCAGUCUGUUCAGAUGAUUGAUGAUUGAUGAUGAUUGAUCAGUCCACGGGCGUAGCCGGGGGGGGGUUUGGGGGUUCAAACCCCCUCCGAAAUAAUAUAGGUACAUAAUAUCAGUUUCAAAAAGUCUUAAUUUUUAUGUCCCAAUCAGAAAAUUUAUGUCACAAUCAGAAAAAUUUCUUGUCAACCCCCCCCCGCCGAAAUUCAACCUUGGCUACGCCUAUGGAUCAGUCUGUAUUCUUCAGAAUUUUCGUCAAUUUCAUAGUCUUCACUCAAGAACAAGUUCCUGAAGCGGUCGUCGUUCAAUACAUUCGACUUUGAAUUGAUAAGUUUCAGAGCCAAU